CUCCUCUCAAGGUUGUACCUGGAGAGUUUCCAGUACUCUACCAGUCUCAGCUACAGGAGGGAGAGCCAAGCAGAGGCCUACUCAUUCCAUUCCUAGCUUGGGCUAGCUAGUGGAAGGCAAUCUGCUACAAGU